rnacentral:lncRNA from 1 species
AGACUUUAAAUAGAUAUUUUUAUUUGUUCUUUGAAAGUUUUAUUACACAGCCUCUCUCCUCUUUGCCAUCUGACUGAUAGGAAAUCAAAGGAUGCUAAAAUGAAAAACAUCUGAUUGUAGGAAUGAAACAAUUAGUUGGCAUCAAUAAGAGGAGCGUAUCAGUACUAACAAAAGCAAGUCUGUGACCCAGGAUCCUUAAAUAAAACACUGAAGGAAAAAAAGAAAAAAGGCACAACAACCAGGGCUAAGACCCAUGCUGGCCUAAUGGGAGAAAGAAAUGGCAAACUGACACUAGCUUUGCUUCUUGUACUAGUUUAACAUAUUUGCUCUUUGCCAUUGGAACAUUUUAUUGUCUGUGAUAAUUAUGUAACAUUUCCAUGGCAACAGGAUCAGUGAGGUGGCUCUGGCCCUCAUUUCUUUCUGCGUAAAGCUGCUGAGCUCCAAUUUUAGAGUCAGUGCUGCAAAGCAACAUGAAGUGUUUCUGUGUUGACUCUCCUAAGUCUCUAGGUCUUACUUAACUGCUUCGUUACCACAGCAGGCAUCAGGGAGGACCUCCAGAGUUACUAGUUUGGUGGAACAGAGAGGAUGUCUGUGGCAAAAGGUUCUCAGCAUGUAACAACCACAAAGCAGAACAGGGAAGAAUUAUUUUUCAGUUGUAAAAAUAAGCGAGGAUUUUUGUUGCUCCUACAUUGGCUAGCAAGGGAAGAUAUCGCUCAAAACUGCCUUGAAUUCCAGUGCCAAGCAGAGCAGUUUUGUGGCUGCUCUGAUCUGUUCCGGUGUGCUAUCAGCCAGAACACCAUGCAUCCCAGCCCUGACCCCUCCAUCCUCCUGUUGGCAGGGACGGCUCUAUAGGGUCAGCAGUUUCAUCAGGCAGGGGCUAAUCAUGUUCCUCAGCACUUCUUGUUCUUUUCAGAGUGUGGUAAAGAAGCCUGGAUAAUAAGCCUUGAAGAAUUAGUUCACAGUAGUUUGCUACAGGAGACAGACUGAAUAAAAAGGAAUAAACUUACA